UUUAGUUCUCAGUCUCAUUUUUGGAAGAUACUCCUUAGGUCUUUGAGGAUUAAACUUAGAACAUGCAAGAGAGAUAUGAAGCUCCUGGAACAAGUUCACUGAAGGGCUACUAAAAUCCUGAAGUGACUGGAGUAUCUCCUUCAUGAGGAAAGGAACCUGUUUAGCUUGAAGAAAAGAAUGCUUAGGAGGAUCUCAUCCAUAUGUAUAAAUACCUGAAGAGAGAGUGCAGUGAAGAUGGACCCAGGGUCUUUUCAGUGGUGCCCAGUGACAGGACAACAUCACAGACACAGACUAGCAGACAGCAAGUUUCCUCUGAACAUCAAGCAGUGCUUCUUUACUGUAUGGGUGACAGAGCAGUGGAACAGGUUGCCCAGAAAGGUUAUGGAUUUUCCUUCCUUGGAGAUAUUCAAAAUCUGGCUGGACAUGGUUCUAAACAACCUGCUCUGGAUGCCCCUACUUGAGCAGGAGGAUGGGAUUAGAUGACCUCUAGAGGUGUCCUCCAACCUCAACCAUUCUGUGAUCCUGUGAACAUAAUUACUGGAUAACAGCAGCUCUGAAAAGUAUUUGGAGAAAGGAGUCAUGUG
ensembl:lncRNA